GUGAGAAUCUCAGGAUGUGUCCCCGAGGGACCAGCCAGCUGUGGGGUCACCUCUUCCAGCAAGGCAGCAAUGGGUGUGACACAGACACACUGGAGAGAAGUGGCUGCAGCUUCUUCACGCAACUCCGUCAAGCCCCAGUGUGCAAUGGGCCUCAAACACCUCUAGUGAGGGGAGAAGUGGCAUCUGCAACCUAGAAGUGGGUCCUCUCCUGGCCAUGCCAGUGCCGUGAUCUUGGACUUCCAGCCUCCAGAACAGUGAGAAAUCAAUUUCCUUUGCUUGUCAGCCACUCCAGCUAUGGCAUCUUCUUACUUAAUAAAGAGGGAAUA